ACGGUGCAGAAAUGCAGAACUUAUAGGCAUAAUUUCUACGAUACAAAAAUGCAGAAAUGCAGGAAACUCAUAGGCAUGAGUUCUAAAAUGCAGAGAAAAAGAACUGCAGAAAACUUAUAGGCAUGAGUUCUAAAAUGUAGAAUGCAGAAAUUAUAAAUAACAUAUAGGCAAAUUUUCUACCCUUUGCAUGCAUUCAUCCCCAUCCCUUUCCACUAGCCAUCCCCAAUACUUAUAACAAAUUAUUACACACCCGAAUGAAUCGGAAAAGUAAAAUUACAUCAGAAGUUCAAGCUAUAUCCAAACAGCCUAAUUGAGACUUAAGGUCUAAAAAUAUAAGGUAAACCAACUUCCUGGAUCCGUUUUCUGAAAGCCUUUCUCACAUUUGAGGUGUGUCAAAGUUCCCAAGAGUCUUAAAGGGACUCGGGACAGUGCUUACACUCCAAACACAUUGCAGAAUUAGAUUGUAGUGCAGUGGAAGAGUCAGCCUUCAAAUGUCCAAGUUCAAAGGGAACUCAGGGUCCCAAAGCAUGGAUCAUAAGAAGGGGACAGAACUUAGAAUCUAAGAGUAAGUGUAAGUGCAUAAGGGGGAAUUAGGGAAAGCCAUUUCAGGCUGGUGGUCAUGCCCGACAAAUGGGAAUGCUGGCACACCCCUG
rnacentral:lncRNA from 1 species